rnacentral:tRNA from 1 species
GGUGUUGUAGCUCAGUGGUAGAGCUCUUGCCUUGCAUGCGUGAGGAUCUGGGUUUGAUUCUCAGCACCAUUU